UAGGGAAUAUUGGACAAUGGGUGCGAGCCUGAUCCAGCAAUGCCGCGUGCAGGAUGAAGGCCUUCGGGUUGUAAACUGCUUUUGUACGGAGCGAAAAGGUCUGCCCUAAUACGGUGGGCUCAUGACGGUACCGUAAGAAUAAGCACCGGCUAACUACGUGCCAGCAGCCGCGGUAAUACGUAGGGUGCGAGCGUUAAUCGGAAUUACUGGGCGUAAAGCGUGCGCAGGCGGUUAUAUAAGACAGAUGUGAAAUCCCCGGGCUCAACCUGGGACCUGCAUUUGUGUCUGUAUAGCUAGAGUACGGUAGAGGGGGAUGGAAUUCCGCGUGUAGCAGUGAGAUGCGUAGAUAUGCGGAGGAACACCGAUAGCGAAGGCAAUCCCCUGGACCUGUACUGACGCUCAUGCACGAAAACGUGGGGAGCAAACA
rnacentral:rRNA from 1 species